rnacentral:rRNA from 1 species
AUGCAGAAUGCAUCUAAGAAGAGAAAACAAGAGGAAAGAAAAAAACAACCUGGGAAUAGAGGUUCUUGGAAGAAAAACCUGGCAGCGGGGGGGGGAUUAAAAAGAGAGACGGGGGCGCAAUUCCCCAUAGAGGAAUGCACCUCAAGAAGGCAAAGAAAAGAAAAGGAAGAAUCAGAGAAUCUCGGUGACACGCGAACCGAACAACCAGAAGGGAACCGAGCACGAACAGAAGAGGAAAGGUGGGGAUUCGAACCGAAAGGAAGCUUACCCUACGUCCCUGCCACCCCGAAGCCGUCCACCGCCGCCGACGACGACGAGGAGGAGACGAAAAGCGGCACAGCCUUUAGGCACCGGCACCGCCACGCUCCAGUCCGCUCCCGGUAUUUACCAGCACCGCCGCCGCCGCCGCAUUAA